UGUUGCCAGAUUCUCGUCUCCAAGGUAAAUAAAUAAACAACAUGUAAAAUCGUGUAAUAAUAAUAUCGUUUUUCAUUACAAAAGAUGAUUUUUUAGAGUGAAGGGGUUGAGUAUUAAAGCUCUCUUAAAGCAUAUAAUAUUUCCGGGAAAAUUUUGAUUAUUUAUCAAAAAGCGUCAUCAACGUCAUGAACGGUUUGCGAAGGCAUACAUACUGACUAACGUUCAUUUUUAUAUAAUAUAGUUGUCCCGGUUAUAGUUGUCUAUUGAUAGAUUUUAUUAAUACUAUCAUUUUUUGUUUUUGUUUUUUUUUUGUAUCUGAAUUAACAAACAAUAUUCAGUAGAUACCAUAGGUACCACGUAAUCAACAAAAAAAUUAAGAAUAUUUACUUUGUUAUCAAGGUAACCCAAUUAACUAGAAUUAUACCGUACAAUACAAAAAUCUCUGUCAGCUAUCUUUUAAAGGUUGAAUUUUAGAAAUUUCAAUAGCUAUAAACCUUCUCCGGUCCACGCAAAAAACCUCGUUAAAAUCUCUCCAGUAGUUAUUGAAAAUAUAAAGGAUGCCCGAAAAAAAUAAGACCCCACCUUAUAUACGUUAAUGAUAAUAGACAAAAUGAGUGUAACACAAAGAUAUACAUAAUAUAUGCAUAAAUAAUAUUAUUCUACGAGUCUCUAUAAUAUUUUCGUUACGUGUAGUUUACGGCCGUUUAACAGAACGUCUGGUCGUUCGGUGGAUUUAGAAUUCGCGGUACGAGGUUCAAAGGUCUGACAAAGUUCUUCGCCGUUCCCGGAGCCCACAUAAAAAUACAAACAAAAAAAUACCACGACGUGGUAGUGAAUAUAGUUUUAUUUCAGUUGGUAUAUUGCAUUGUGCGUUCGUUCGGAUGGCUGCUGCCGAUCGUUGUGCGGCCUAUUGUUUCGUAGUCGCCGUCGUAACCGCUUGUUCAAACCUAACCGCCGGUCCCGGCAAAAACAGAAAAAGAAAAGGAAAUAAAAUCCGCACGAUUCCUCCCGUGUUACCGCGUCUAUUCCUCCGUCAACG